AUUGAACGCUGGCGGAAUGCUUUACACAUGCAAGUCGAGCGGCAGCGCGGCCUUCGGGCUGGCGGCGAGCGGCGAACGGGUGAGUAAUGCAUCGGAACAUGCCCAGUCGUGGGGAAUAACACUUCGAAAGAAGUGCUAAUACCGCAUACGUCCUGAGGGGGAAAGCGGGGGAUCGCAAGACCUCGCGCGAUUGGAGUGGCCGAUGUCAGAUUAGCUAGUUGGUGGGGUAAAGGCCUACCAAGGCGACGAUCUGUAGCUGGUCUGAGAGGAUGAUCAGCCACACUGGGACUGAGACACGGCCCAGACUCCUACGGGAGGCAGCAGUGGGGAAUUUUGGACAAUGGGGGCAACCCUGAUCCAGCCAUUCCGCGUGAGUGAAGAAGGCCUUCGGGUUGUAAAGCUCUUUCGGCAGGAACGAAACGGUGGGCUCUAACAUAGUCCGCUAAUGACGGUACCUGAAGAAGAAGCACCGGCUAACUACGUG
rnacentral:rRNA from 1 species